GUCGAGAAUCUUUCACAAUGGGGGCAACCCUGAUGGAGCGACGCCGCGUGGAGGAUAAGGUCUUCGGAUUGUAAACUCCUGUCAUGCGUGAACAAGGUUGCUUGGUUAAUACCUGGGCAAAUUGAUGGUAACGCAAGAGGAAGAGACGGCUAACUCUGUGCCAGCAGCCGCGGUAAUACAGAGGUCUCAAGCGUUGUUCGGAAUCACUGGGCGUAAAGGGUGCGUAGGUGGCGUGGUAAGUCAGAUGUGAAAGCCCGGGGCUCAACCUCGGAACUGCAUCCAAUACUGCCAUGCUAGAGUACUGGAGAGGUGACUAGAAUUCUCGGUGUAGCAGUGAAAUGCGUAGAUAUCGAGAGGAAUACCAAAGGCGUAGGCAGGUCACUGGACAGUUACUGACACUGAGGCACGAAGGCCAGGGGAGCGAACGGGAUUAGAAACCCCGGUAGUCC
rnacentral:rRNA from 1 species